UGGUGGGGAGGAUAUCACAGGCCGAGGCAACAGAAAGACCGCAGAGCAUCACAGAGUAAGCACUACGACUGCCUCAAAUCAUGCAUCAAGGAAGGCAAACUGCAUCCCAUACAGUGCCACACCCUCUGCUAAACCCGAGGCUGAGGACACAGGAAGAAGAAGAACGAAGUGAAGCUAACUGAAGCGAGCUGAAGCGAGUGAGAGAGCGAGUCCUCGACAUUCUGUGUGUGGAGGAGAGAAAAAGAUGCGACGCCUUUAUCAUCUUUGUUUUUCUCUCUCUCUCUUAUUCUCUCUUAUUCUCUUAUUCCCUACCCUUAUUCUAAACACAAAGAGGAUGGCUUUCAGAUAAUCCAGAAUCUACGAGAAACUAAAUGAAGGUAUCUUACUACAUCCACGGACUCGACAUGUACUGCCGUCUCUUCUCAACGGUUGGCGGGAGGAUACUAUUGAUUAAAAAAAAUAGAAAUGUUAGAUAUAGAAGAAAAAAAGAGAGGAACCUGUGAGGAUAAGAAAAGCAAAAUGGAUCUAUUCAUCUAUUAAUAUAUAUCUUUUUUCAUUCUCUUUUCAUGGAGAAAGUUAUAUCACGUAUUGAUGAACAGAAAAUAAUAUAUAUAAUAUCCUGUUUAUUCUUCUGUUUAUGGAAUUAUCUGGAAAAAGAGGAAAUACCCACUGUUUGUUUUAAUCCAUAUUCGUGCAUAUCUAGAAAAUGACUCAGAUAUAAAUAUAAACAAGAUAGGGAAUAUGUCGGAGCUUUGUUUACAGUGAGAAGGAAAGGAGGCUGAUUCCUGCUGACUGUAAACAACACAGAUUAUAUGUUCAUUUAUAUAAUGACAUGUAAAUACCUCUGUAUUACUUUUGUCAUCUUGUCGUUCAAGGAGAUUCCGUGUAGUCAACAGGUUUCUUCAUAUUCUGCUCUGCUAUCAUCAUUAAAUUUUACUGGAAUGA